GGGCUCGUACAGGCUAACCUAUUGGUUGCAAAUGCGCCCUCUCACGGCGCAAACAGGGGUUCGAUUCCCCUUGGGCGUGCCA
rnacentral:tRNA from 1 species